ensembl:lncRNA
GUUACACAGCGAAUAGUAGUUAAUGACGUUACACAGCAAAUAGUAGUUAAUGACGUUACACAGCGAAUAGUAGUUAAUGACGUUACACAGUGAAUAGUAGUUAAUGAUGUUACACAGUGAAUAGUAGUUAAUGACGUUACACAGCGAAUAGUAGUUAAUGACGUUACACAGCGAAUAGUAGUUAAUGAUGUUACACAGUGAAUAGUAGUUAAUGACGUUACACAGCGAAUAGUAGUUAAUGACGUUACACAGUGAAUAGUAGUUAAUGACGUUACACAGUGAAUAGUAGUUAAUGAUGUUACACAGUGAAUAGUAGUUAAUGAUGUUACACAGUGAAUAGUAGUUAAUGACGUUACACAGCGAAUAGUAGUUAAUGAUGUUACACAGCGAAAAGUAGUUAAUGAUGUUACACAGCGAAUAGUAGUUAAUGACGUUACACAGCAAAUAGUAGUUAAUGAUGUUACACAGCGAACAGUAGUUAAUGACGUUACACGGCGAAUAGUAGUUAAUGACGUUACACAGCGAAUAGUAGUUAAUGAUGUUACACAGUGAAUAGUAGUUAAUGACGUUACACAGUAAAUAGUAGUUAAUGACGUUACACAGCGAAUAGUAGUUAAUGAUGUUACACAGCGAAUAGUAGUUAAUGACGUUACACAGUGAAUAGUAGUUAAUGAUGUUACACAGUGAAUAGUAGUUAAUGACGUUACACAGCGAAUAGUAGUUAAUGACGUUACACAGCGAAUAGUAGUUAAUGAUG